rnacentral:rRNA from 1 species
AGAAUCAACGCUGGCGGCGUGCCUAACACAUGCAAGUCGAACGAGAAAGUGGAGCAAUCCAUGAGUAAAGUGGCGCACGGGUGAGUAACACGUGACUAACCUACCCUUGAGUGGGGGAUAACCUAGAGAAAUCUGGGCUAAUACCGCAUAAUACCUUCGGAUCAAAGGAGCAAUUCGCUUAAGGAGGGGGUCGCGGCCGAUUAGUUAGUUGGCGGGGUAAUGGCCCACCAAGACUAUGAUCGGUA